rnacentral:rRNA from 1 species
AUGCGAUCGCCUUCCUCCCUCAGCUUCUUUUCUCUACGCUCUGUCAGGCUGCAACAGCCUAAGUUUCUAUUUUCUAUCUGGGCUCCACUGGCAGUAGUAGGAUGCUCAUUGGCAACCCAAGAUGUGUGCUGCUGUGAGGCAUGUAGCACCACUUCUCCUGGGCGUCAUGGUCUCAUGGAAUGGACAUCAUGGGGCUUAUUAGGAACUCUGAGUUCAGCGGGCACCAUGCCGAAAGAGGUCAAUCUCUUCCAAUACACAAUUGCUGAGGUUCUCGAAGUCCGCCCUCUCAUUGACAGGGUGAAAGUUGUGGAAUUUUUGCUUUAA